rnacentral:lncRNA from 1 species
CCCUGGCGUUGGCCAUGACGCGGGACGGUUCCAGCGGCGGCGUCAUCCGCCUGGCCGCCAUUACCGAGGCGGGCGUGGAGCGCCGCGUCCUGGCCGGCCCCGAGCUGCCCGGUGGCGAUGGCGGCCCCGCGGCGUGAGGAGGAGGAAGGGGAGGAAGAAGAGGAGAAGGAAGGGGAGGAGAGGGAGAAGCGGAGCCCUGGGGGUGGGGGUGAAAUAAACGUCGUUCUUCACACCUGGAGCUGUGAGGGAAGGGCGGGAGCGGAGCGGCCUCGGCCGCCGCCGUCGCCUCAGCGCUGAGGGGAGAAAAAAGGGUGGGAAGCGGUGGGCGGGAAGAAAAGGGCGGGAGCGGGAGGGCGCAUGCGCGUUGUGCCACCCACGUGCCUCUGCGCGUGCGCCUCCUGUCGGUACCGCGCGUCUGCGCAUGCGUCGCACGCUUUUUGAGCACCGCGCCUGCGCAGUAUCCACUGGGUGGACUUACGCCUCUGCGCAUGCGCAUUAUGACCCCCCAGCCUCCGCGCAUGCGCCUUGCGCCUCCCUCGCAGCCCGCCCCCCCCCCCCCCCGAAGCUCGUGGAGUGACAGAAAUGAACAUCUCUGUUUCGUUUUAAUUAACUCUUUUGUAAUGAGAAGAACCUGGGGGGCGGGGAGAGGCAUAAUGGGUGCUGUCCCCAUACAGCCCCAUAGGAGUUCCCCCCCCACCCUGCCGCCCAGCCCCCAUAGGCGCAGCCCCAUGGGGGUCCCAGGGUCAGCCCCUAUACAGGGCUGGGGGUCAACCCUAUGGGGUUAGGGGUCAGCCCCAUGGGGUCAGCCCCUCUAUGGGGCCAGGGCUCAGCCCCAUCUGGGGGUCCUGGGGUCCGGGGUUAGCCCCAUCUGGGGGUCCCAGGGUCAGAGGUCAGAACCCUCUAUGGGGCCAGGGUCAGCCCCGUGGGGUCAGCCCCAUCUGGGGGUCCUGGGUUCAAGGGUCAGCCCCAUGGGGUCAGCCCCAUCUGGGGGUCCCAGGGGCAGGGGUCAGCCCCAUACAGGGGUCCCGGGGUCAGGGGUCAGCCCCAUCUGGGGGUCCUGGGUUCAGGGGUCAGCCCCAUGGGGUCUGCCCAUCUAUGGGGCCAGGAGUCAUCCCCCAUCUGGGGGUCCUGGGGUCAGGGGUCAGCCCCUCUAGGGGGCCAUGGGUCAGCCCCAUAUGGGGGUCCUGGGUUCAGGGGUCAGCCCCAUGGGGUCUGCCCCUCUAUGGGGCCAGGGGUCAGCCCCAUCUGGGGGUCUUGGGUUCAGGGGUCAGCCCCAUGGGGUCAGCCCCAUCUGGGGGUCUUGGGUUCAGGGGUCAGCCCCUCUAUGGGGCCAGGCCGUGUCAGUGGGGCCGGGCGCUGUGGGGCCGGGUGCUAUGGGGCCGGGCGCUAUGGGGCGGCGCGCAGCACGAAGCGGCGGUAGGCGGCGUUCAUCUGCUCGAGGAAGAUGAAGGUGAGCACGGUGUGCGGGCCCAGGCGGGCGUAGUACGGCGUGAAACCCUUCCACAGGCUGAAGAAACCCUCGUGCCGCACCACCUUCAGCAGCACGUCCUGCGGGGGGAGGGGGGGGGCAGGGGUCGCGGGGUCAGAGGUCACGGGGUCAGAGGUCACGGGGUCAGAGCAUAAAUGACCGGGGGGGGGUCAGAGCUCAAAGAGUGGAGGGGUGAAAGAGACAGGAGUUGGGGGGUUUAAGGACACGGGGUCACGUGGUCAAAGGGCAAAUGGUCAGGGGGUCAAAGGUCAUGGGGUCAGAGGUCACGGGGUCAGAGGUCAUGGGGCCAAAGGGUAAAUGCUGGGGGGGGUCAGAGCUCAAAGAGUGGAAGGGUGAAAGGAAAAGGAGUUGGGGGUCUAAAGACAUGGGGUCACGGGGUCAAAGGGCAAAUGGCCAGGGGGUCAAAGGUCAUGGGGUCAGAGGUCACGGGGUCAGAGGUCAAGGGGCCAAAGGGUAAAUGCUGGGGGGGGUCAGAGAUCAAAGAGUGGACGGUGAAAGGAAAAGGAGUUGGGGGUUUAAGGACACGGGGGUCACGUGGUCAAAGGGCAAAUGGCCAGGGGGUCAAAGGUCAUGGGGUCAGAGGUCAAGGGGUCAGAGGUCACGGGGUCAGAGCAUAAAUGACCAGGGGGGGUCAGUGCUCAAAGAGUGGAGGGGUGAAAGGAAAAGGAGUUGGGGGUCUAAAGACAUGGGGGUCACGUGGUCAAAGGGCAAGUGGCCAGGGGGUCAAAGGUCACGGGGUCAGAGGUCACGGGGUCAGAGGUCAUGGGGUUAGAGAUCACGGGGUUGUGGUCAUUGGGUCAGAAGGGAAAGGGGGUCAAAGGGUCGAGGAUGUGGGGUUAAAGAGCAAGGAGUUGGGGGGUCUGAGGACUUGGGGUCACGUGGGCCGAGGUCAUGGGGUCAGAGGUCACGGGGUCAGAGGUCAAAUGGCCGGGGGUCAGAGGUCAAAGAGUGGAGGGGUGAGUGGGAAAGGAAUUGGGGAUUUAAGGACACGGGGUCACGUGGUCAAAGGGCAAAUGGCCAGGGGGUCAAAGGUCACGGAGGUCAGAGGUCAUGGAGAUGGGGGUAAAUGACCGGGGGGUCAAAGGUCAUGGGGUCAAAGGUCAACGGGCCGGGGAGUCAGGGGGUCAAAGGGCA